UACGAAGGGGGCUAGCGUUGUUCGGAAUUACUGGGCGUAAAGCGCGCGUAGGCGGCCCUGCAAGUCGGGGGUGAAAGCCCGAGGCUCAACCUCGGAACUGCCUUCGAUACUGCGGGUCUCGAGUCCGGGAGAGGUGAGUGGAAUUCCUAGUGUAGAGGUGAAAUUCGUAGAUAUUAGGAAGAACACCAGUGGCGAAGGCGGGUCUCUGGGCCGUAACUGACGCUGAGGAGCGAAAGCGUGGGGAGCAAACAGG
rnacentral:rRNA from 1 species